AUACUUACCUGGCAGGGGAGAUACCAUGAUCAAGAAGGUGGUUCACCCAUGGCGAGGAUUAGCCAUUGCACUUCGGCGUUCUGACCUAUGCGAAUUCCCCAAAUGUGGGAAUCUCGACUGCAUAAUUUCUGGUAGUGGGGGACUGCGUCCGCGCUAUUCCCUG
ensembl:snRNA U1 U1 spliceosomal RNA